AACGAACGCUGGCGGCAGGCUUAACACAUGCAAGUCGAACGCCCCGCAAGGGGAGUGGCAGACGGGUGAGUAACGCGUGGGAACAUACCCUUUCCUGCGGAAUAGCUCCGGGAAACUGGAAUUAAUACCGCAUACGCCCUACGGGGGAAAGAUUUAUCGGGGAAGGAUUGGCCCGCGUUGGAUUAGCUAGUUGGUGGGGUAAAGGCCUACCAAGGCGACGAUCCAUAGCUGGUCUGAGAGGAUGAUCAGCCACAUUGGGACUGAGACACGGCCCAAACUCCUACGGGAGGCAGCAGUGGGGAAUAUUGGACAAUGGGCGCAAGCCUGAUCCAGCCAUGCCGCGUGAGUGAUGAAGGCCUUAGGGUUGUAAAGCUCUUUCACCGGAGAAGAUAAUGACGGUAUCCGGAG
rnacentral:rRNA from 1 species